rnacentral:rRNA from 1 species
UACGUAGGGGGCGAGCGUUGUCCGGAAUUACUGGGUGUAAAGGGCGUGUAGGCGGGGCGUCAAGUCAGGUGUGAAAUUCCGAGGCUUAACUUCGGGUGUGCAUCUGAAACUGAUGUUCUUGAGUGUCGGAGAGGAAAGUGGAAUUCCCAGUGUAGCGGUGAAAUGCGUAGAGAUUGGGAGGAACACCAGUGGCGAAGGCGGCUUUCUGGACGAUAACUGACGCUGAGGCGCGAAAAGCGUGGGUAGCAAACAGGAUUAGAUACCCUGGUAGUCCA